rnacentral:rRNA from 1 species
AGUGAACGCUGGCGGUAGGCCUAACACAUGCAAGUCGAACGGCAGCACAGUAAGAGCUUGCUCUUACGGGUGGCGAGUGGCGGACGGGUGAGGAAUACAUCGGAAUCUACUUUUUCGUGGGGGAUAACGUAGGGAAACUUACGCUAAUACCGCAUACGACCUACGGGUGAAAGCAGGGGAUCUUCGGACCUUGCGCGAUUGAAUGAGCCGAUGUCGGAUUAGCUAGUUGGCGGGGUAAAGGCCCACCAAGGCGACGAUCCGUAGCUGGUCUGAGAGGAUGAUCAGCCACACUGGAACUGAGACACGGUCCAGACUCCUACGGGAGGCAGCGGUGGGGAAUAUUGGACAAUGGGCGCAAGCCUGAUCCAGCCAUACCGCGUGGGUGAAGAAGGCCUUCGGGUUGUAAAGCCCUUUUGUUGGGAAAGAAAAGCAGCAGGUUAAUACCCCGCUGUUCUGACGGUACCCAAAGAAUAAGCACCGGCUAACUU